GCGAAAGUGGCGGAAUUGGUAGACGCCCUGGUUUUAGGUACCAGUGCCGCAAGGCGUGCGGGUUCGAGUCCCGCCUUUCGCACCA
rnacentral:tRNA from 8 species